UACGAGGGGUGCAAACGUUAUUCGGAUUGAUUGGGCGUAAAGGGUGCGUAGGCGGCAUACUAAGUCAACUGUUAAAUUUCCCGGCCUAACUGGGAUUCUGCGGUAGAUACUGGUGUGCUUGAGGAUGGAAGAGAGAAGUGGAAUUCUCGGAGUAGCGGUAAAAUGCGUAGAUCUCGAGAGGAACACCAAUGGCGAAGGCAGCUUCUUGGUCCAUUUCUGACGCUGAGGCACGAAAGCGCGGGGAGCAAACAGG
rnacentral:rRNA from 1 species